AAAAAUAUCAGUCCCCUAAGAUAAGGGCAACGGCUCUACACGACUGUGAUAAAAUCAUGUGAUCCCUCAAAAAGAGGCAGAAAAUAGGCUCAACAUUAAUCACAUGAAAAUUUAAACUCAAAUCAAAAUCGGCUCCUCAAGAAGAGGUAAAUAGCUCAACGUGACCGGCACAAGAGCACAAGAGCAUACACAAACUCACAAUUACUCUAAUCAAAUAUCGGCUCCUCAAGAAGAGGUAAAGAAGCUCAACACGACCGGCAAGAGCACAAGAGCAAGAAAACUCACAAGAACUUGACGCCCCCUGAACAAAUGCAACUCCCCCUGAACAAAUGCACUCCCCCUGAAAUCAUGCACUCUCCAUGAAAUCAAAGCAUGUAAAGGCUCUCCCACUUGACAAAUGAAUGAGUUUGUAUGAAUUUCUCC
rnacentral:lncRNA from 1 species